UGAGAGUGAGAGAGAGAGAGAGAGAAAGAGAGAGAGAGAGAGAAAAUAUGAAAACGAGCAUCGAUAUAAGAAAAGCGUGAUUUAUUUAUUAUGCGAAGGACGGUCCUUUAUUUUCUAUGCUGUUAGAAGAAAAUUUUAAUUCAGCCGAAUUGCAUGUAGUUAGUCCUUAAUGAUGUUCCUCCGAGUUCAUAUGACACGUUUCUGUACAAUAUUCUGCACCUGCUUGUAUCAUCAAAAAAAUUAGUCUCAGUUAAAAAACCCGUUAUUAGUUGAUAUAUAAUCGGUAAUUUUUUAUGUGAUUUAAUGAAUGAUCGAAAAUGGAUACAGAAAACUAGCUAUUUGAUAUUUCGAAAGCUGAGUCCCAGCUAUAUCUGAAAAAGUAGGAGCAUUGCUCAGUGCUAAGGGCGUGGCUCGAAGGGGACUAUUCCGAAGACGCCGUCGUCGUUAUUGAUCGACUGCGUUCUGUUGUCGACCAUAGCAGGGACUUGGGAAGGGCAUUGUGAAAAAUGUCCAGUCAUAGUGUACGUGUGUGUGUGUGUGUAUAUACAUAUUAUAAACCCUCAACGCACAGAUAUAUAAGUUGCCUCGAAUACUCCGAUCGGCUACGAAGAUAUAGUUACGACGAUCAUUACUUAGAUGAAAAUUUUUUGAACCAGUCUCGUUUAUCUGAUGAGGGUUUAUAAACAACUUAUUACUUAAUAUUAUUAUUAUCAUUGUGUAUUCUUUUUAUUACCAUCAACAUCAUCGGCUUUAUUAUUAUCAUUAUAAUUGUACAAGCUGGUUCAUAUUAUAUAACAUACACAUACAAACAUAAUAUGCGUCAUUCCACUAUACCCGACUAGCUAUAAAUCAUAAGCUUCACUAUUCCCACUUCCACGACGAAACUUCCAAUUGGUCAGAGAUCUUCCCCCACUUCUUCCGUUUUCUACUCUUAGGAACCUUCGUGUUACGAAAGAAGAUUCUCGAAGAACACUUCCAUUUCGACUGCGUAACCUGCUCUUUACUCUUAUAUAUCUCUUCACAAUCUUGCAACAUCUUUGAACUUUCACAUAGAGAAAAAUAAACUUAAGUCGUUUAACCGAUUCAGUGAAGACUAAUCAGAUAUCGUAGAAGAGAGUGUCAUCGUUUCUAUAUUGGUGAAUCAAUAACAAAGGAGCACAUUAAACAAAUCGCACACUUAUAAAUGACUGUAACAGAGAAGCUUCGUGUUACGAAGGAAAAUUCUCGAAGAACACUUCCAUUUCGACUGCGUAACCUGCUCUUUACUCUUAUAUAUCUCUUCACAAUCUUGCAACAUCUUUGAACUUUCACAUAGAGAAAAAUAAACUUAAGUCGUUUAACCGAUUCAGUGAAGACUAAUCAGAUAUCGUAGAAGAGAGUGUCAUCGUUUUUAUCUUGGUCAAUCAAUAACAAAGGAGCACAUUAAACAAAUCGCACCCUUAUAAAUGACUGUAACAGAAGAUAUACCAACAACGAUUAAUUCAUCAAUGGGUGUAUGGUAAAGUGAUCAGAAAACCGGAAAUUAAUGGGACUGAACACGAGGAAUUGAAAUCUACAAUUUAAUCCGAAAAUGAUCUUGGAUAAAAUCGUAAAACCAACACAUAGAGAAACGAGUUCAACUGAGAAAGAAAGUUGCGGGAGUUCCUCGACCGGGAUUCGAACCCGGGUCCUUUCACUCGCCGAACAAGCGCACUACCACCUGAGCCACAAAGACCUAUGUCCAUGUAUUUAUAUAAAUGUGUUUAUAUACCACAUCUAAUUUCUCUGUAUGAUUAACAAUUUUUAUAUAUAUUAUAGAGAAAUUAUUUUUCUGCGAUCAUAAGUCUAUGUAAUACUAUAUUCAACUUAGUAAUACGUACUUAUUUUUUACAAUAAAUUUUUAAUGAACUAUGUAGUAAUGUGUAACGCUAUGUAACGCUUUUAGAAUACUUGUGUUAAAUCAAGUGCCGAUUACGAACAGUUACGGAAGAAACCAAGUGCUUCCGAAGAUUUCUUAAAAAAGGCUGCGGAAAGUAUAAAGUAGAAGUUAAUUAUUUUACACGAAAUCUUGUUCUGUUUAGUGGAAUUUUUAAGUUUUAUUUUUCUAAAACGUUCUUGAUAACACUUACGUAUAUAUCUGAAGGUAUAAAUACAGUAUAUCGAUAAUUAAUUUACAUCUCCUACAUUGUACACAUGCCUUCCUUUUUUUAUUAUGUAAUAUUGUAUAAUAGAAGCUUAAAAAAAUCGAAAGAUAUAGAUUUGACCUCACAUUUUUUAUGAAUAUAAUAAUUAAACAAAUGUAAUAUAUAUUAUUCAGUGUCUAUAAGUAUUAUAGUAAUUUAUUUAAUUAAAGUAUGUUUAAUAUAUACAAUAACAUCGCUGAAGGCAUAACAAAUGUAGAUAGAAGUAUUUCUCUCCAUAAAGUCUCCUUACAAUUAUGUGAGUGAAACGUAGAAGAUAUAUUUUCUUUGAUUUAGAAAGUCGGAUGAAUUUUUGUUAUGUGCAAUGAUAAAGUGUUCUGUUAUAAGUAUGAUAUUUCUAUACGAAUUGACAUAAUUUAUUGAAUCCAUAUAUAUUUUAAAUUUGAAUCUUCCUUGAAACAUAUCACAAAAAUUAAAAAAAAAAAGAAAAAAAAUUAGGUCUUCGCUAGUUGCCUACAAACAUUUUCGGGUGAAUGCUCUACCAUCUGAGCUAUCGAGGAACUUUCUGCCUAAAUUUACUUACAUAGAUAGAUCUAAAACAUUUGUAAUUGCUGUAACUCGAUGUACAUGUUAUUGGGGUCCGAUUUGCACCAUAAACUGUAACCGAUAUCUGAUACGAAUAAACCACCUUUUAACAUUCCGUCUAUACAACUAAUUGUGAUUUUUUUAUUCUUAAUACUUUGUUUUUUUGCAUUGAAACAAUGCGUUUGUAUUUCCUAAAUACUUUUUUCUUUUGUCAAAUAAUAGGGGUACGAACAGUCAUAUUUUCUACAUAUAAAUUUCAUCAUCACGUGCCUCGCGAAACAACUAUUCGUUAAGGUGUGGGGUACAAUGGUGAUAAGAAAAUGGUUUUCAUAUACUUAGGUGUGGUGUGUGGGGGAGGGGACAGAGCAGAAAGAGCACUGUUUCAUUUAUCCACAUUACAAUAAAUCGCUGCUCAGAAAGAUAAGAAGUGAAACAAGCCUGAAUGUAACGUUUUUUCUUGCAACGAGAGUAGGAGUCGUGGAUGAGGUUUUUCGCUGCGUGCCUCGACCGGGGCUCGAACCCGGGACCUUUCACUUGCCGAACAAGCACUCUGCCAUCUGAGCCACGAAGACCUACGAUUACACAUCUAUAAUAUUUCCGAUAAGACAGAUGCCGAUUACGAAUACAUACGAUGUUAAUCGAGUUUGUGGGAGAGAGGGAGAGAGAGAGAGAGAGCGAGAGAGAGAGAGAGAGAGAAAAAGAGAGAGAGAGUGGAAUGAAGAGAAAGACCCGUCGCGCGGAAUCAAUAUGGGAUAUUGAGAACGGAAAUUUUUGGUUUCUUUUUUAUAUUAAAAUGUACAUUGCACUUUGUAAAAAGACAGUUAUACGCAUAUACCUAUAUUUGGUUAUAUAAUACUAUUGGCUUGCUCCUAGAAAGGAAUUAGAUAAAUAGGAAUUUCAUAUAAUAAUUAGAGAAUGACGAGUCCUAUUAAUGAGAAAUAUCAUUCUGUUUCAUUUCGGACAAGUUACCAUAUAGCACGUAUAAUCGAAAUAUUUUCACGAUCAAGGUACUCUCGAACCGUGAAAAGUUUGUAAUAUGUUAUCGAAAUUAUAUAGGAGGAAUUUUAUAAUUUAAAUAUUUCCCGAAAAAGUUUCGCAUGUUCACUCAGUUUGAUUGUAUAAUAAUCUUGUUACUAUAUAAAUUAUAAGAUAACAAUAUAUGUAACAAACUAUUUUCAAAAUGACAAAAAAUUACUUAAACCUAUGAUUUUGUGAUCUUUAUUUUAUAAAAUAUUUACCAAUCGAUGAAACGACUCAUUAUUCAUAAAAAUCAUGAAUUAAUUAAUUAGUACAAAUAUUAAUACUACCAAUCGACAGUCACAUUUUAAGCUUAUUAUUCUACAGGGAUCUUUCAAAUCAAUAAUUCUGAUUGAAUCGUUUCUUUAGAUUUCAAUAUUUCAGAAAAUGGUGAUGAAAAGAUAAGAUCUACUACUGCAGACUUUAUAAUUUUUUUUACUUUGUACAAUUCAAAUCAAAAACAUCGUUGCAUCGAAAAGAUUAACCGAAUAGCGACUUGAUAAGGGCAACCGAAUAUUGAAUAAGAAGUUGAUUGAUAAUAAAAACACAGAAGGACAACACUUUAUCAUUGUAAGUUUAUAAUAAUGAAAGUCUAACUAACAAUUCGAUGGUAAGAUUUAGAGUGGCUCACGAGAAUGUUCGAACGCUCGCUAUUAAGACUUUAAAUAAUAAAAGUAUAUAGGUUAGUUUUAAGUUCAGAAAGGGGUGUCGCUACUACUAGAAGGCCCAACUAUCGAAUUUAUGUAUACGAGAUUUGAAGCGAAUGUAAUAAUAUUUAUAGAAGUUAAAAAACAUUUAUUACAAGGAUAUAUUGAAACAAAGUCACAAAAGUAUUCGAACGCUAUUAAUUAUAUGUAUUUUAUUUUAUUUUAUAUUAAGUUGCAUCACCCUUGUCUCUGUUAUAGCUUUGAGAGGAUAUUGCAGGUUGUGUAAUAACUUCUCAAUUGCAGAUUCGAAAAUUUUGAAAAUUUCCUCUUAAUCAACGUGUAAAAUAAGAACAAUUAAAAAUUCAUUUGACAAAAUAAAGAGAAGUACUUCCAAAGUAAUAAAUUAUUUAAUUUUUUCUCCUUUCUUUUUCUCUAUUUCAUUUUCAUAUUACACACGCAUCUACGUAAAUAAAUGUAGCUAACUCUACAGUUGAUGUAGAGUAAAGUAAUAAAAAAUAUUAAAGUACAUUAAGAUGAAGCGUCUGAAUUUCCUUUGUCUCUAUUAGUCACGAACAAGCAGUUAAAUGAAAUAUUGUAUCUUUGUCAACGUGUGCAUAUUACGAUGAGUGUAUUUUUAUAGACACGUAUGUUUCCACAUAUACUUUAUACAUGUACAUACAUCUGUAUGUGUAUGAUGUAAACAGUUCGCAUUCGUCCUUGCAGCUUAUAAGAAGAGUAACGCUAUAAAUUCUACAUAUGUAUUCAAACGUAUCGUGUUUAUGUUGAUAUUUACACCGAACAUAAAGGAUUUCACAGUACUGUAUGGAAUGUUUACAUAAAAGAAUAGCCAUGAAAGUCAUAUCCUUAUUCCAGCGAUAAUGCCACUUUGUCUAGCAUGGGUAGAACUUACAUUUCGGUAUACCCAACAGUCGAUUCGGCAUAAAUUGUUUGAGAGAAAUGCUACCCUGACGAGAUUCUGCACUUACUCAACUAUGCAUUUUGUUAACUAUAUAUUUUUGGACUUUUGGAAUUGAGAAUAAUUGAUAACCGGAAUCUUUGACAGAAAUCAUAUGAGAUACAAACUCUUCACUUCGUUUGAAUAAAUUUAAUUCUCUUCAUCUGUAAAUUAUUGAGUAUGAAACACAAUGAUUUUAAUUAUUGUCUAUUUUUUUCUACUUCUUCCUAUGCGAGUAUUCAUGCAUUAUUUACAUACAUAAUUAUUUUCGAAACGCGUACGAUAAAUCAUCGUAAAUAAUUUGAUAGAUAUUCAAACACUUUUUUAUCUGUUCCACUUUACUCAAAAGCUGCGAUGCGUCUUGUUAAUUAUUCCAGUAAAUUUAAAAUAGAGAAGAAAAAUCUCGGAGAAAGAUUACUAUCUUUCUUUGUAGAAUCUCUCUUUGUUUAAUCUAUCUCUCUUUAUAGGUCGGUUAAGUGCGAGUGAAAGGAUGAGAGUUGAAAGUGUGAAUUUAGCAACUAUGCUCGAGAUAGGGAAUUAGCAAAAUAUCAAUGUGGUUAUAUAAGAAAAAUCAGGAACCUUCGAAAGAACACAUAAGGGAACAAGAGCUCUACAUUAAGAACGAACAAAAUGAAAUGUUUAUUUCAUAUUAUCUCCAACGAUAUCACAGAAAGGAGGUUCUUAUGAAGAAAAAGGAGAGAUUGAAAUGACCUUGAAAUCUUUCAUUAAAGGAAAAGCAAUAAAUUCUAUCGUUACGUUUCGGAAGUGUAACAAAUAUACCGUGAAAGAAAACGAAAUUUUUCGUACAAUAUUUUUCAAAUAAUUCAGAAGAGUCGAAUUAUUGUUUGUAUGAAUUGUGGACAUUGGUAAACUGUUGUACGUUUGAACAAUUCUGAGUCGAUUAAAUUUAUUUUUAUAUUACUAUUAAAACGGACUAUCAUAAUCUUGUUAUUCGUAUGGGAGGUUAAGAUGAAAACGCAAAUAUGCUAUUGUUUCACACGAUUUUAUGGAUUUACCUAUACUAUAUAUUAAGAGAAUGUCAUAUUCGUUUAAUUCAUAUCAGUACAGUUUAUUUUUUUUAUAUUGGUUUACUUUUUCUUGAUAUCUUUUGCAACGAUAAAAAUAAAACACAAUUUGUAAUCCUAUUUUGUACCGUUGGAUUAUAUUAAAUGUAUAGAGGAUAUCUUUGUUUUCUAAGUACGUAGCGAAUUAAGAUGAAGAGACAAAUUCCGUUAUCGACAACGAGAAUUACCAAUAUAUCGGUAUAUCGAUCUCGUUUUUAUGUACCAUUAUUGCAAUAAUAUAUACGUAAUGCGUUUUAAUCAUGAUUGAUCAUUCCCCAUGCUACAUGGUAUAACAAUGUCUUUAUUAAUUACCAAUAUGAUUGAAAUAAUAAAAUAUGUAUGGCCAAAUGACAUAUUGAAUCCGUAUAUAUUUUAAAUAUAUAUGUCCCUUGAAAUAUAUCUCAAAAAUGAAUAAAAGUUAAUGAAAAAAAUUAGUUCUUCGAUUGAUGAAUGCUUACAAAGUUAUUCAGGUGAAUGUUCUACCAUUUGAGCUACCGAGGAGAUUUCCGGCGAGAUUUACAUGCAGACACGUAAUUACAUCUGUGAUUGAUGUAAUUCAGGAUUAAAGGGUAUUGGGUCCAAUUUGUUUCAUCAAGAAUAACCGAUUUCUGAUAUCAGCAAACAUCUUUUCAUGCUUUAAAUAUAUUGCGUUGCUCGUUUAUUGUGGUUUUUCUAUUCUUAAUACAUUGAUUUUUUGCGUUGAUUUAACGCGUUUGUAUUCCAAAAUCCUUUUUUCUUUUGUCAGAGAAAAAGGGGGGUAUGGAAUUAUUAUUUUUCACAUAAUAAUUUUGUCACGUGCAUUGCGACACAACAACUACUCGGUCA